CGGGCUCUCGCUCUGUCGCUCAGGCUGGCGACGCUGGACCUCAGGCAAAGGACAGUAAUCCUUGAGAGACAGGAGACAAACCAGUUUUCCAUCUGUCCAGCUCCACCACUAAAUAGUGUCUUUAUUCCGAGGAGCUACUUGAUUUGGGACUCAGUCUUCCUACAAGGCAAAAAGAGAAGACCUGGAUGCUCCACGUGGUCCAGACAUGGAGCAAGUAAACCGAGCUCUCACCACACCGCACAGUCUCCUCAGCCUCCUGCUCAAUGUGCUUUCAUUGGAAAUGCUUAUUGUAAAUGAUGACACUUUUUUAAAACCAAAAUUCAAUUAAAUUCAAUACAUAUUUAUUGGG